rnacentral:rRNA from 1 species
AUUGAACGCUAGCGGGAAGCCUAACACAUGCAAGUCGAACGAGUGGCGGACGGGUGAGUAAUGUCUGGGAACCUGCCUGGUGGAGGGGGAUAACUACUCGAAAAAGUAGCUAAUACCGCAUACCAUCGGAUGUGCCCAUAUGGGAUUAGCUAGUAGGUGGGGUAAAGGCUCACCAAGGCGACGAUCCCUAGCUGGUCUGAGAGGACGACCAGCCACACUGGAACUUAGACACGGCCCAGACUCCUACGGGAGGCAGCAGUGGGGAAUAUUGGACAAUGGGGGAAAGCCUGAUUCAGCCAUGCCGCGUGUAUGAAGAAGGCCUUCGGGUUGUAAAGUACUGUCAGCGGGGAGGCGGUAUCCGCAGAAGAAGCACCGGCUAACUCCGUGCCAGCAGCCGCGGUAAUUC